rnacentral:piRNA from 1 species
UUGGAAUUGAGUUUGGGUCAAAAUAAC